rnacentral:rRNA from 1 species
UGAACGCUGGCGGUAUGCCUAACACAUGCAAGUCGUACGAGGGUUUUUAACUCUAGUGGCGGACGGGUGAGUAACACGUGAGAAUUUGCCUUUAGGAGGGGGAUAACAAUCGGAAACGAAUGCUAAUACCCCAUAUGCUUUCGAGUGAAACGGAUUUAUCCGCCUAAAGAGAAGCUCGCGGCUGAUUAGCUUGUUGGUAAGGUAAGAGCUUACCAAGGCGACGAUCAGUAUCUGGUUUGAGAGGACGAUCAGACACACUGGAACUGAGACACGGUCCAGACUCCUACGGGAGGCAGCAGUGAGGAAUAUUGGACAAUGGGCGCAAGCCUGAUCCAGCCAUACCGCGUGGGUGAAGAAGGCCUCGGUUGUAAGCCUUUGUUGGUAAGAAUACCAGCUGGCUAAUACCCGGUUGGGAGUGACGGUACCCAACGAAUAAGCACCGGCUAACUUCGCGCCAGCAGCCGCGGUAAUCGAUGGCGCGAG